rnacentral:rRNA from 1 species
UGAGACCUCAGGUCAGGCGGGG